GGGCAGCAGAGAGAGGGAGACCUAGAAUCUGAAGCAGGCUCCAGGCUCUGAGCUAUCAGCACAGAACCCGACGAGAUCAUCACCUGACCUGAAGUCAGAUGCUUAACCAACUGAGCCACCCAAGUGCCCCAACUUUAGGAUUUUAAAUGAACUCUGUACUCCUGGGGUAAAUACCCUGAUGACAUCCUAACUUUAGGAUAUUUUAACUUUUAGGGGCCCUAACUUUAGGGGUUUUUUUUAAUGUUUAUUUAUUUUUGAGAGAGAGAGACAGAAACAGAGCAUGAGAGGGGAAGGGGCAGAGAGAAAGGGAGACACAGUAUCCGAAGCAGGCUCCAGGCUCUGAGCUGUCAGCCCAGAACCUGACACAGGGCUGGAACCCAUGAACCACGGGAUCAUGACCUGAGCCAAAGUCGGACACUUAACUGAUUGAGCCACCCAGGCGCCCAUAACUUUAGGUUUUAAAUCAACUUUGUACUCCUAGGGUAAAACCCUUGAUGACAUCCUAAAUCAGCUUUUGCUAGAUUUGAUUUCUCCUCCUCCCUCUCCCCGUUAUCCUCCCCCUUCUCUGCCCCUCCUCCUGGUGCAAAGGGAUGGUUUGGUAAAGCAUGGGGACAGGAUCUGUGGGCAGAAAGCACUGCCGAUUUAUUAUCCUUUUACAUAGUGUCACUAGUGUUCAUGUAUGAGAUUUGCCUGUAGUUUUCUUCUCUUGGACUGUUCUCAAAACUCAGUUUUUACCAGUUAUUGUAUGUUUCCCAAUAGACUAUACUUGUGAAGUUGCACGUUUUAAUAUAUAUUCAAAGACUCAAAUUUUAAUGUAACUGUAUUGUACUGAGACAGUAAAAACCUUGGGAACAAGCCUCUAUGCCCCUGGGAAGCUCCGUGCUGGCCAAUACCACUUCUCUUGCAGAGCAAGACACCAGCUAAGGAUCAGAGCAAACUAGUCUGAGACACAGUGUCUGCCAGAUUUGACCUUUUACUGACUUUUGCCCUCAUUAUAAUAGUGAAAAUCACAUGCAAGGGGUGGAGAUUUUAACAUGUUAGACACAUAACACAUGAAGAAGUGUGACCUUUAAUUUUUUUUAAUGUUUAUUUAUUUAUUUUUGAGAGACAGAGACAGAGCACGAACAGGAGAGGGGCAGAGAGAGAGGGAGACACAGAAUCCGAAACAGGCUCCAGGCUCCAAGCUGUCAGCACAGAGCCCGACGUGGGGCUCGAACUCACAAACCAUGAGAUCAUGACCUGAGCCAAAGCUGGACACUCAACCAACUGAGCCACCCAGGCACCCCAGAAGUGUGACCUUUAAAUGCACAGGUCUCACUUUCUGGGAAAAGACAGAUUACGUGAUGUGAGGACGUAGCAUUCCCGAGUAAGCGGUGCCUUGUCACUGACCGGAGAGUUCAUACCAAGAUUCAGAGAAGAGCUGGAAGAGUCCUUUGGGCAGAUGUUGGACUCACUGGCCAUUUCCCAAAAGCAGCCUGAAAAUGACCAAGUCCUAGUUCCUGGCUCACAGCUCCCCAGAUCCUUGGAAUUUCCUAAAUACUGAGAGUGAUAACAGUGUCUUUUGUUACACGAAUGAUGACUUCUUGGAAGCCUCCAAGGAAGAGGGCUGGUUGCCGGGAGAAUCAAUCAUGUGUUAAGAGGGUUGGAACUUUCAGUCACACCCCCCUGACCUAAGGGAAUGGGAAAAGGGUAACACUCACCUGAGGAUGUGGCCGUGCACUUCACGUCAGAGGACCGGCAAGUACUGGAUGUGGUCCAGAAGAAGCUGUACUGGGUUGUAAUGUUGGAAACUUACAGCAACCUCAGAUGAAAUAAAGAACAAUAGGGUCUGUAUCAACCCCCAGGCACAGCUGGACAGCCAAGGAAUCUGUGGGAACCCUACUAGCUUGGGCUUCCUGAACAUGACCAUGAAAUGGCUGCCAUUGUUCCAGACAUCACCACCAUGGCCACAUAACCUCCCAAGCCAGGAGAAUGGGGAUGGGCAGAAAAACAGACUUCAUUAAUAUGCCUCUCUCAUUUUAUAAGGAAGGAAAAUCUGUUCUGCCGUCUUUGCAAAACCUCUUCUUACUUUCCACUGGCAGAACCAAGUAAUAUACCCAUUUCUAGACCAAUGCCUCACACACACACACACACACACACACACACACACACACACAGUUUUAAUGAAGUUGCCCUGAUUGGCUUACGAUGAACGAAAUUGCCACCUGGAUAAAAUGGAGUCCACUUAUCAAGGAAUAAAGGUGGUAGAUAACUGUAUAGGUAUAGAUCUCCAAAGGAGUUCUCCCUUGCUGGUUCCUGGGGACGUAGAAAGUAAUCAGACAUGGACUCUGACCGACUGGAUGAAGAGAUGAGACAGUGAAGGGCUUGUGUCACUGACUUAGGUCCUUUGGGUUCUCCAAGCAAUAGAAAUUUACUAGAGGCAUUGACUAGAGGAGUUUCAGGCUUUCAUUGGAGCUUAUGCUCAAGCACAAGGGUACUUUGUGCUGGCUCUCUGGCAAAGGCCAGAGAACGUUCUUUAAAAGAGACUGAGAUGGGGCAGGAGUGACUCUAAGUCAUGUAGUUGGGGAGAGAUACAGGAAAUUGGGUGCACAGGUAUAGUGAACAGAACAUGCUUCAUCGUGCAUUGCAUGUCUCAUUAGUAUGUUAAAUCUCCACCCCUGGGAGUGUUUUUAGUAUUAUAAUCGGGGAAGAAGUCAGUGAAAGGUCAGUGCUGGGGUCCACUCUUGGCGCAGGCUGGUUUCAAUUUGUCUUUGCCAGUCGAGACCCUCCUUUGGUAAGCAUCCUGCUCCCACAUUCCUGCAAAAUAUGCUACUUAAGGGGCCUAGGGCUUCACCUAUCAAGGGACACUGGGUUGCUUAAUCAGGAUUGAGGGGACUCAAGUCCAGUCCCUGCUCUGUCUCACUUGGUCACAGUAGAGUGAGAGUAUACAUAGUGAUAGAGAGAUGCCUGGGUUUUUAUGCGAUCCUCCAAAAGAAACAGCUAAACUCAGACUGACAAGACCUAGUAGUAUAGAGAUGUUGCCUAGAGGGAACAUCUAGGCUGGGUCUUAGAGGCUCAGGUAAAGAAGAGAAAGAAAAUUGCAUUCCAGGCGGAGGGGAGUGAAAAUGCACAGGAGAGAGGCCAAGAAAUAGGUUAAGUUGGUUAUUGGAGCGUAGGUAGUGAGGCAGAGAGCAGUAAGUGAUAGCAAGUGCCAUCUCUUAGAGGCUCUUCACUGCUACAAGAAGGACUUGGACUUUCUUCUUAAGGAAAUGAAAAGCCAUUGGGACCAUACCAAAAUAGAAAGCUUCUGCACAGCAAAGAAACCCGUUAACCAAACGAAAAGACAACCUAAUGAAUGCGAGAAGAUACUUGCAAAUGAUAUAUCCAAUAAGGGGUUAAUAUUCAAGAUCUAUAAAGAACUUAUACAACUCAACACCGAGAAAACAAAAACAAAAACAAAUAAUCUGAUUUGAAAGCGGGCAGAGGACCUGAAUAAACAUUUCUCCAAAGAAGCCAUCCAGAUGGCCAACAGACACAUGAACAGAUGUUCAGCAUCUCUAAUCACCAGGAAGAUGGAAAUCAAAACCGCAAUGAGAUACCACCUCACACCUAUUCAAAUGGCUAGAAUCAAAAAGACAGAAAUAACAAGUAUGGUGAGGAUGUGGAGAAAAAGGAACCCUCAUGUUGGUUGGAAUGUAAAUUGGCGCAGCCACUGUUGGAAACAGUAUAAACGUUCCUCAAAAAAUUAAAAAUAGAAACAAAAGUAGAAAUUCGACUACCGGGUAUUUAUCCAGAGAAAGCAAAAACACUAAAUUAGUGUUUCAUUACUGUUUAAUUAUUUUUGAAUUAAAAGAAUAAAAGCACCCUUAUGUUUAUUUGCAGCAUUAUUUACACUAGCCAGUGGGGUGCCCAGGUGGCUUAGUUGGCUAAGUGUCUGACUCUUGAUC